rfam:Pteropus vampyrus cont1.33330, whole genome shotgun sequence.
GGGAAAGCAGUUUUAUCAUUUCCAGGACACUGUCUAGAGGAGUCAUACAAACUUAGAUAUUUCUUGCUCUGAUGUCUACUUGCCAUGUCUGUGUGAGGAAGUGAAAAGCCCUUGAGGAGGCUCUUAGGACCCUUUAUGGAUCUCCAUGAUGUCAUUCAUUCACUGCUCCUGCUAUGCUGGGUGACUCCUCCAAACGUCAUCACAUUCUUUCAUUUCUACUGGGUGUGCACUGGUCAUUUCAGGAGAAUCCUCUGAGCUACAGCCAA